AGAGUUUGAUCAUGGCUCGAGGACAACGCUGGCGGUGUGCUUCACACAUGCAAGUCGAACGAGGUAGCAAUACCUAGUGGCGGACGGGUGAGUAACGCGUGGGAAUCUGCCUUUAGAUGGGGGAUAACGGGUCGAAAGACUCGCUAAUACCGCAUAUGACGAAAGUUGAAAGGAGUAAUCCGUCUAAAGAUGAGCCCGCGUCCGAUUAGCUAGUUGGUAGAGUAAAAGCCUACCAAGGCGACGAUCGGUAGCUGGUCUGAGAGGAUGAUCAGCCACAAUGGGACUGAGACACGGCCCAUACUCCUACGGGAGGCAGCAGUGGGGAAUUUUACGCAAUGGGCGAAAGCCUGACGUAGCGACACCGCGUGAGCGAAGAAGCCCCUUGGGGUGUAAAGCUCUGUCAGCUGGAACGAAAAAAUGACGGUACCAGCAGAGGAAGCAUCGGCUAACUACGUG
rnacentral:rRNA from 1 species